rnacentral:rRNA from 1 species
CCUACGGGUGGCAGCAGUGGGGAAUAUUGCACAAUGGGGGAAACCCUGAUGCAGCGACGCCGCGUAAGUGAAGAAGUAAUUCGUUAUGUAAAGCUCUAUCAGCAGGGAAGAAAUUGACUCUAUCUGAGUAAGAAGCCUAGGCGAACUACGUGCCAGCAGCCGCGGUAAUACGUAGGGGGCAAGCGUAAUCCGGAUUUACGGGGUGUAAGGGGAGCGUAGACGGCAGUGCAAGUCUGGAGUGAAAGGAGAGGGAUCAACCCCCGGACUGCUCUGGAAACUGUACGGCUGGAGUGCAGGAGAGGUAAGUGGAAUUCCUAGUGUAGCGGUGAAAUGCGUAGAUAUUAGGAGGAACACCAGUGGCGAAGGCGGCUUACUGGACUGUAACUGACGUUGAGGCUCGAAAGCGUGGGGAGCAAACAGGAUUAGAUACCCGGGUAGUC